rfam:Myotis brandtii contig181938, whole genome shotgun sequence.
CUCGGGAGGGGUCCCUCAGCCCAGAUUGUGAGAGGGUGCAGGCCAGGCUGAGGGACCUUACUGGUGCACA